GGCCGUGUGGCAUAAUGGUUUGAGUGUUGGACUAGGACUCUGGAGACCAGUUUUCAAAUCCUGGCUGAGCCA